UCUGACGCUUCCCGUCACACCUGGAAACUGUGAGAGAAGUUCGACGUCUUGUCUGCGUCGUUUAAAAACCACCAUCAGGUCAAAGAGGAGCCUGGACUGAGCCCACGUCACUGAACCUUCUCCAACAACAACAACAACAACAACAACACACUGUGUUUUCUCCUAACGUCUCCAUGGGAACACAGAGAAGAUCAAGAUUGAUGCAACAGAUGGAAAAAAUUCAAUGGCAGUUAAGAGGCGAUUUAGUUACCACAACCUCAGCCCCGUUGAUUUAACUACAAAUACCUCUACACAGUCAGCUAAUGUGAUUGUUUCACAUUGAGUGAUAGGAUGAGGCUUAGAGUAACAUUACAUACUGCUGCUUUCUAGCAGAUGUAAUGGGUCAUAACCGUCCAGCUCACACGCUGCUGAUUUACUGCUGACCUAGAUGAAAGGAGCGAGAGAGAUUUAUUGAGGCUUUAUUGGACAUAAAUAAAGUCUGUUUUUAAAGACA